CCUACGGGUGGCAGCAGUGAGGAAUAUUGGUCAAUGGACGAGAGUCUGAACCAGCCAAGUAGCGUGAAGGAUGACUGCCCUAUGGGUUGUAAACUUCUUUUAUAUGGGAAUAAAAUGUUCCACGUGUGGGAUUUUGUAUGUACCAUAUGAAUAAGGAUCGGCUAACUCCGUGCCAGCAGCCGCGGUAAUACGGAGGAUCCGAGCGUUAUCCGGAUUUAUUGGGUUUAAAGGGAGCGUAGGGGGAUUGUUAAGUCAGUUGUGAAAGUUUGCGGCUCAACCGUAAAAUUGCAGUUGAAACUGGCAGUCUUGAGUACAGUAGAGGUGGGCGGAAUGCGUGGUGUAGCGGUGAAAUGCUUAGAUAUCACGAAGAACUCCGAUUGCGAAGGCAGUUCACUGGACUGCAACUGACACUGAGGCUCGAAAGUGUGGGUAUCAAACAGGAUUAGAUACCCUAGUAGUC
rnacentral:rRNA from 1 species